GCCGAGGUGAUGGAAUGGUAGACAUGCAAGACUUAAAAUCUUGUGACCCAAUUGGGUCGUGUGGGUUCGAGUCCCACCCCCGGCA
rnacentral:tRNA from 1 species